UACAGAGGUGCCGAGCGUUAGGCGGAAUCACUGGGCUUAAAGCGUGCGUAGGCGGGCCGUUAAGUAUCUUGUGAAAUCCCCCGGCUCAACCGGGGAAUGGCUGGAUAUACUGGCGGUCUUGAGCGAUCUAGGGGCAGAUGGAACAAGUGGUGGAGCGGUGAAAUGCGUAGAUAUCACUUGGAACGCCACAGGUGAAAACAGUCUGCUGGGGAUCUGCUGACGCUGAGACACGAAAGCCAGGGGAGCGAACGGG
rnacentral:rRNA from 1 species